rnacentral:misc_RNA from 1 species
GAUUCUCAUAAGGAGCACCA